rnacentral:rRNA from 1 species
AUGAUUGCAUUCAGAGAUACUUUGGAAGUCUGUGGCCUUGUUGAUUUGGGCUUUGUGGGGAUUCCAUUCACAUAUGAUAACAAGAGAGGAGGGGCAAGUAAUGUUCAAGUGCGCCUGGACAGGGCAGUGGCUACGAAUGAAUGGAGGAACUUGUUUGCAUUCACGUCUGUGCUCCAUGUACCAUCGCCGUGCUCAGAUCAUGUGGUGGUGGUGUUGAAAACAGCUCCUGAUCAAGGACCGUCGAGAGUGAAGCAGAGACGUUACGAGCUUUUUUGGGAGAGAGAUGAGGCGCUACCUGAGGUCAUCAAAGAGGCGUGGGAGGAGAUAGGCAAUGUGGAGAAUCUGGCACAACUCCGAGAGGCACUAUCAAAAACAAUGGCAACCUUGGGGAAGUGGAGU